rnacentral:ncRNA from 1 species
CACGGGGUGCGCCUUCUGGCGCUGAGAGAAUACCCGUUGAACCUGAUCUAGUUUGGACUAGCGAAGGGAUGUUU